rnacentral:sRNA from 1 species
AAGGACAAUAUCAACAACAAGAACGAACCUUAUGCCU